rnacentral:tRNA from 1 species
UAGCAGGAAGUGAGGUUCACGUUUAGUUUCGACCUAAGGAUUGAGUAGUUUCUCUGUUUA